UACGGAGGGUGCAAGCGUUGUCCGGAUUCAUUGGGUUUAAAGGGUGCGCAGGCGGGACAUUAAGUCAGGGGUGAAAGACGGUUGCUCAACAAUCGCAGUGCCUUUGAUACUGGUGUUCUUGGGUGACCUUGAGGUAGGCGGAAUGGGUGGUGUAGCGGUGAAAUGCAUAGAUACCACCCAGAACUCCGAUUGCGAAGGCAGCCUACUGGAGGUUUACCGACGCUCAGGCACGAAAAGCGUGGGGAUCAAACAGG
rnacentral:rRNA from 1 species